rnacentral:tRNA from 1 species
GGGGACGUGGCGAAACCGGCAAACGCACGGGGCUUAAAACCCUGUGCCCGUAAGGGCUUGAGGGUUCAAGUCCCUCCGUCCCCA